rnacentral:rRNA from 1 species
CCCACUAUGCUUAGUAGUAAACCCAGGCAGACUGUUAAACCACCUGCCCGCCAGAAGACUACAAGUAAUAAACUUGAAACUCAAAGGACUUGACGGUACUCCACAUCACCCUAGAGGAGCCUGUCCUAUAAUCGAUAACCCCCGCUAUACCCAACCUGCCCUAGAUACAAACUCAGCCUAUAUACCGCCGUCUUCAGCUCACCUUAUGAAAGAACUCAAGUGGGCCUAAUAGCCACCACUAAAACGCCAGGUCAAGGUGUAGCUGAUGGACAGGAUAAGCGAUGGGCUACAUUUUCUAAUAAAGAACCCACCAACAGCGCCAAGAAAAUGACGCCAUAAAGGAGGAUUUAGUAGUAAAUCGAACAAACCUGUUCA